ensembl:lncRNA
AUGCUCCCAUUGAUGUUGUGUAUAUUUCACUUGCAAGUCAGAUGUAAUCUUUGUUGCCAAAGUAUGCAGCAAUACCAGCUGGAGCAUCACAAAAAUAAUUUCUGUGCAACCCAUAGUGCACCACCAUCUUCCUGCUCUCUGGCUCCCUCUUCCAGCUCUGCAUGGAAAGACAUUUCUCCCAGAGGGAAAAAAAGAGAACAUCCAUUGACCUCCAAAACCUUGCUCAAACCUCCAAAGAACAAAAAGGUGGUUGGCAUUCACUCCCCCACAAGAAGCAAACUUUCCAUAUCACCUCAAGUUCUUAAAGACACUCAAUCUUACAGCAUGCUGGGAACCUGCGCCCACUGCAACACUACUCUGCCACUUCCAGCCCAUCAGAAACAUCAGGUGAGAGGUGAUACACUGAAACGUAAACUCCUACAUGCUUGAACAAAGAGCCAUACCCACAGAGUUUCUUCUUAUCCCCAGACUACCUGGGUCCCAUUGCCUGUUUUGGAUUCCAUAGCUACUGUUCAAGGUACUCCCAUUCUGUAAAGUACAAAUUCCAUUUGCUAUUUAUGCAGUAAGAUUGUCUGCCUGACUUAUAAAGAAAUGCUAGCCAUGAUUCAAGCUGUUGAUUUUAAGCUUAAAUCCUGGAAGGUCUUCAGCACAGUUAUUAUUUUCUGAAGUUUCUACUUUUAUUCUAUUUUCUACAGUUUCUACUAAAAAAAACAGUGUGCUUAUAUCUCAGCUGUAUCAGAGAUGGAGUUCUAGAUAAAUUACCAUUCUAGCGGAGGGGCCUAGUUGCCUCACUACUUAAUAUGAUAGUGUGUGGAAUAUAAUGUUAAAUUCUCUAACAUGUAUUUAUUUAUUUAUUUUAUUUUUUAGAUCAAAUGCCCAAAUUUUGUAUCUUUGAAAAAUGUUAAGAUGAACCAAAAACCACGCAGUGGAAAAAAAGGUACUGUAGAAUUUCAGAAUCCCAGCAUAAGAUUCAGCUCUCAGGAUUACUCUGCACUGGGUUAAUAAGUACGAUUUUGCAGAGGAAGUGCAUCAGUAGGAGCUAAUACGCAGAAUAUCACUAAGCUCUGUGGAUUCCAACACACAGUGGGUCCCCAUGAGGUUCUUGUGACUCAACAGAUAGUUUUAUUAAUAAUGUGAUUAAAAAAAAAAAGGCUAGGCUUUCAUUUUAGUAUUAAGAGGAAGCUAGUUCAAGCCAAGAGAAGGAAAAAAAAUUCUCCACAAUUUUUCCUUUUUUUCUCUUCUUUUUUUUUCUCCCCAAAAGCAAAGAACGGAGUGUUUUUCAGAUUCGUGGAGUUAAGUUUGGAAAGGACCUCCAGAGCUCAUCAGGUCCAAUGCUCCUGCUCAGUAGGAAUACCUAGAAGAGUUUACCCAGGACCAUGUCCAGACAGCUUUGAAAAAUUGACAAGGGGGGAGACUCCAUUACCUUUUUGCGAGAGCUACUUUCCAGAAACCUACCCAAAAAAUCCAUGACUGUUUGCACUUAAUCAAAUAAUAUAUUUUUCAGGAAACUGAUUUAGCAAGCAUUGCUUCAGAGCCAGUAUGUUUGCAGUCUCUUGCUUCACACCUGCACAUACACAUUGUGCCUCUCAAGUUAUGCUACUCUGAACAGGGCAGUACCUUCCCUAUUGUAAGCAGAGAUCAGCACAAAGAUUUCAUAGAACAGAUGUUCUGUCCAAGGCCAGUCAGACUUCUCCAGUGCUGAGGGAAACCUUAGAGAAUUGUUUCAGAAGACAGGAAGAAAAAAUUAUUUUGUCUCCACAGUAAAAAUUGCAUCUUCAGUAGAACCACAUUGACAUAGGUACAUAGAAAGAACUGAUAUAGAAAUCCUGGAUAAUACUUCCAGCUGAGCUUGGUCUGAUUCAUAGAUAGUGAGUCUCUUUCUUCUGUAUAUCUCAUGUACGGUGUGAAUCAUAUCACUUUGCUAACAUUCCUAUCUGUGUUUCAGUUUCUAAGCAGUAUCAUUUAUUUUCAGUCUAAUUAAUUAAAUGAAUAAAUGUAGUUUUUCUCAGCCUAUCCUUUUCUGC